CCCCUACGGGAGGCAGCAGUAGGGAAUCUUUCACAAUGGGCGAAAGCCUGAUGGAGCAACGCCGCGUGCAGGAUGAAGGCCUUCGGGUUGUAAACUGCUUUUAUAAGCGAGAAAUAUGAUGGUAACUUAUGAAUAAGGAUCGGCUAACUCCGUGCCAGCAGCCGCGGUAAUACGGAGGAUGCGAGCGUUAUCCGGAUUUAUUGGGUUUAAAGGGUGCGCAGGCGGGCUGUUAAGCCGGCGGUAAAAAUUCAGGGCUCAACCCUGUCGAGCCGUCGGAACUGGCAGGCUUGAGUGGGGGAG
rnacentral:rRNA from 1 species